rnacentral:tRNA from 1 species
GAGCCCAUAGCUCAGUUGGCAGAGCAUCUGACUUUUAAUCAGAGGGUCGCUGGUUCGAUCCCAGCUGGGCUCA